UACGGGGGGAGCAAGCGUUGUUCGGAUUUACUGGGCGUAAAGGGCGCGUAGGCGGCGUGACAAGUCACUUGUGAAAUCUCCGGGCUUAACCCGGAGCGGCCAAGUGAUACUGUCGUGCUAGAGUGCGGGAAGGGGCUACUGGAAUUCUCGGUGUAGCGGUGAAAUGCGUAGAUAUCGGAGGGAACAUCAGUGGCGAAAGCGGCUUCCUGGUCCAGCACCGACGUCAGGCACGAAAGCGUGGGGAGCAAACAGG
rnacentral:rRNA from 1 species